GAGUUGGGAAUAGAUGUGGGGGACCAUUCCACGGGUCUCCGUGUCGUAGCUAACGCAUUAAGUUCCCCGCCUGGGGAGUACGGCCGCAAGGCUAAAACUCAAAGGAAUUGACGGGGGCCCGCACAAGCGGCGGAGCAUGCGGAUUAAUUCGAUGCAACGCGAAGAACCUUACCAAGGCUUGACAUAUACCGGAAACGGCCAGAGAUGGUCGCCCCGCAAGGUCGGUAUACAGGUGGUGCAUGGUUGUCGUCAGCUCGUGUCGUGAGAUGUUGGGUUAAGUCCCGCAACGAGCGCAACCCUCGUCCUAUGUUGCCAGCACGUAAUGGUGGGAACUCAUGGGAUACUGCCGGGGUCAACUCGGAGGAAGGUGGGGAUGAGGUCAAAUCAUCAUGCCCCUUAUGUCUUGGGCUUCACGCAUGCUACAAUGGCCGGUACAAUGGGCUGCGAUACCGCAAGGUGGAGCGAAUCCCAAAAAGCCGGUCUCAGUUCGGAUUGGGGUCUGCAACUCGACCCCAUGAAGUCGGAGUCGCUAGUAAUCGUAGAUCAGCAACGCUACGGUGAAUACGUUCCCGGGCCUUGUACACACCGCCCGUCAAGUCAUGAGAGUCGGUAACACCCGAAGCCAGUGGCCUAACCUUUUGGAGGGAGCUGUCGAAGGUGGGAUCGGUGAUUAGGACUAAGUCGUAACAAGGUAAC
rnacentral:rRNA from 1 species